UACGUAGGCAGCGAGCGUUGUUCGGAGUUACUGGGCGUAAAGAGUGCGUAGGCGGUUUUCUAAGUUUGGUGUGAAAUCUCCCGGCUUAACUGGGAGGGUGCGCCGAAGACUGGAAGGCUUGAGUAUGGGAGAGGUAAGCGGGAAUCCUGGUGUAGCGGUGAAAUGCGUAGAUAUACAGGGAGGAACACCUGCGGUGUAGACGGCUUACUGGGACCAUCACUGACGCUGAGGCACGAAAGCGUGGGUAGCAAACGGA
rnacentral:rRNA from 1 species